GACGUAGGGCGCGAGCGUUGUCCGGAUUUAUUGGGCGUAAAGAGCUCGUAGGCGGCUUGUCGCGUCGACCGUGAAAACUUGGGGCUCAACCCCAAGCCUGCGGUCGAUACGGGCAGGCUCGAGUUCGGUAGGGGAGACUGGAAUUCCUGGUGUAGCGGUGAAAUGCGCAGAUAUCAGGAGGAACACCGAUGGCGAAGGCAGGUCUCUGGGCUGAUACUGACGCUCAUGCACGAAAGCGUGGGGAGCAAACAGG
rnacentral:rRNA from 1 species